GAGAAGCUUGCUUCUCUUGACAGCGGCGGACGGGUGAGUAAUACCUAGGAAUCUGCCUGAUAGUGGGGGAUAACGUUCGGAAACGGACGCUAAUACCGCAUACGUCCUACGGGAGAAAGCAGGGGACCUUCGGGCCUUGCGCUAUCAGAUGAGCCUAGGUCGGAUUAGCUAGUUGGUGAGGUAAUGGCUCACCAAGGCUACGAUCCGUAACUGGUCUGAGAGGAUGAUCAGUCACACUGGAACUGAGACACGGUCCAGACUCCUACGGGAGGCAGCAGUGGGGAAUAUUGGACAAUGGGCGAAAGCCUGAUCCAGCCAUGCCGCGUGUGUGAAGAAGGUCUUCGGAUUGUAAAGCACUUUAAGUUGGGAGGAAGGGCAUUAACCUAAUACGUUGGUGUUUUGACGUUACCGACAGAAUAAGCACCGGCUAACUCUGUGCCAGCAGCCGCGGUAAUACAGAGGGUGCAA
rnacentral:rRNA from 1 species